rnacentral:rRNA from 1 species
UCUCCGUUGGUGAACCAGCGGAGGGAUCAUUACCGAGUUUACAACUCCCAAACCCCCAUGUGAACGCUACCGAACCGUUGCCUCGGCGGGGACUCUGCCCCGGGCGCGUCGCAGCCCCGGACCAAGGCGCCCGCCGGAGGAACAAAAAAACACUCCGAUUGCGUGCCCGCCCAGCGGGACACUAUUUUCUUGACCUCUGAGCCUCUCCCGGCGCCCCCCGCGGGCGCCACGGAAAUGAAUCAAAACUUUCAACAACGGAUCUCUUGGUUCUGGCAUCGAUGAAGAACGCAGCGAAAUGCGAUAAGUAAUGUGAAUUGCAGAAUUCAGUGAAUCAUCGAAUCUUUGAACGCACAUUGCGCCCGCCAGUACUCUGGCGGGCAUGCCUGUCCGAGCGUCAUUUCAACCCUCGAGCCCCUCCGGGGGGUCGGCGUUGGGGAUCGGCCCGCCCUCGCGGCUGGGCCGGCCCCGAAAUGCAGUGGCGGUCUCGCCGCAGCCUCCCCAUGCGCAGUAGCUUGCACACUCGCACCGGGAGCGCGGCGCGGCCAACGCCGUAAAACACCCCAAACCCUUCUGGAAUGUUGACCUCGGAUCAGGUAGGAAUACCCGCUGAACUUAA